GUUAUGAAGUUUCAACACGGCGAAGCUGCGAAUGGCUCAUUAAAUCAGUUGUAGUCUAUGUGAUGGCUUUCUACAUGGAUAACUGUGGUAAUUCUAGAACUAAUACAUGUGUCGAUGCCCAACUUUACAGACAGGUGUUAUUUAUUUCUUCCGGAACCAGCACAGGCUCGACCUGGCUUUCUGGCGAUACAGAGUAACUGAAUGAAUUGUGUGGCUUCAGCCGGUGAUGGAUCAUUCCAGUUUCUGACCUAUCAGCUUCCGAUGGUAGGGUAUUGGCCUACCCUGGCAAUGACGGGUAACGGAGAAUUAGGGUUUGAUUCCGGAGAGGGAGCCCGAGAAACGGCUACCACAUCUAAGGAAGGCAGCAGGCGCGAAAAUUACCCAAUCCUGACGCAAAGAGGUAGUGACAAGAAAUAACAAUACAGGGCAUUCACGUCUUGUAAUUGGAAUGAUCAAAAUUUACAUCUCUUUCAGUUCCUGGCCCAUUGUUGCGCAAAGUUUAAUGAACCUUAUCACUUAGAGGAAGGAGAAGUCGUAACAAGGUUUCCGUAGGUGAACCUGCAGAAGGAUC
rnacentral:rRNA from 1 species